rnacentral:rRNA from 1 species
GUCGAACGGUAACAGGUUAAGCUGACGAGUGGCGAACGGGUGAGUAAUGUAUCGGAACGUGCCCAGUCGUGGGGGAUAACUGCUCGAAAGAGCAGCUAAUACCGCAUACGACCUGAGGGUGAAAGCGGGGGAUCGCAAGACCUCGCGCGAUUGGAGCGGCCGAUAUCAGAUUAGGUAGUUGGUGAGGUAAAGGCUCACCAAGCCGACGAUCUGUAGCUGGUCUGAGAGGACGACCAGCCACACUGGGACUGAGACACGGCCCAGACUCCUACGGGAGGCAGCAGUGGGGAAUUUUGGACAAUGGGCGCAAGCCUGAUCCAGCCAUGCCGCGUGCGGGAAGAAGGCCUUCGGGUUGUAAACCGCUUUUGUCAGGGAAGAAAAGGUUCUGGCUAAUACCUGGGACUCAUGACGGUACCUGAAGAAUAAGCACCGGCUAACUACGUGCCAGCAGCCGCGGUAAUACGUAGGGUGCAAGCGUUAAUCGGAAUUACUGGGCGUAAAGCGUGCGCAGGCGGUUAUGCAAGACAGAGGUGAAAUCCCCGGGCUCAACCUGGGAACUGCCUUUGUGACUGCAUGGCUAGAGUACGGUAGAGGGGGAUGGAAUUCCGCGUGUAGCAGUGAAAUGCGUAGAUAUGCGGAGGAACACCGAUGGCGAAGG